AUGAGAUACAAACACUGUAGAAUUUCUGAGAAAUGAAAAAUGACUGGUUUCUGGAUUUUAAUUUUGAUCUUCAGCACCAUGUAUACAGUCCAACCUGGUAGACGCUGGGUUACUGCACAAUCCCUCACAGAGUCACCAGUUUAUCAGCCUGAUAAAGAGCUCAGUGUGAAUAUCGGAGACUCGGCUACUCUACAGUGUUGUAUUUUAGGAAAUGAAGUCAGGAUAAUUGCCUGGUUUAAGCAACCAAAGAGAAAAAAACCUCAGAUUGUAGUCAGGGUACACAAAACUACUGGAGAAACAUUUUUCAAUGGAUUUCAAAAGUCUCAUUUCCAAAUAGAAAGAUCUUCAUACUGCUUCAAUAUGAUAAUUUUUAACAUCAUUCAGUCUGAUGAAGCCAUGUACUACUGUGCACUCGAAUACCCAAACACUGUGUUUGCAGAUGGAACUUAUUUAAAAAUUAAAGGUAGGAUUUCCACUAAAAUUGAUUAAUCUACUGGUUUAAUGUAGUGAUUUUUUUCCUUAUUACAAUUAACAUGUUCAACCUGGAAGACAAAUAAUGAUGAAGUAGUGAAAUGCUAACUGUGUUUUCUUCAACAACACUGAGUUACAGAGUUUUAGUGAAUUAUGAUAAAUGUUUAUAGGUGAUCAUGUUACUAUUUCAUCAGAAACAUCUAAACCAGCUCUGUGUGAUAAUUCAGUGGUGUGUGAACCAACACUGCAUGGAAACAACACUAACAUGAACACACACGAGAAAACAGGUGAUAUGUCUGAUUAUUCAACAUUAAUCAAUUAUCCUUAAUUCAUCAAGCAAAAUUUGCAUGGAAAAUAAUUUGCACUAAUGUAAUUGUAAUGUGGUGAAAUAACAGAACCAGAAAUGAUCAGAUCUCUACAUUCGACAGUGCUCGGUUUGGGAACGGCUUUGGGUUUGUGCGCACUUCUGAUUUUCUGUCUCAUUUAUUUCAUACUGAGGAGAAGAAAAUGUGAUAAAAUGAAAGCUUGUAUAGAAGAUUCUCCAGGAAUGAAGCAGGAAUCUGAAGCUGAAACACUGAAUUACGCAGCUGUGCAAUUUACCAAGAGGAAAGCCAAAGGUGAAAAAAAGAAAACUGCCUCAGCAGAAGAGUGUGUGUACGCCGAUGUGAAAAAAACUGUAAGAUAUAACAGAGAUAAUUCAUAACACAUGGUACUAUUACACUGCAACAACAGUGAAAAUAUUUUACUAAGUUGAAAUAUAUGGACUAGGCAAAUGUAAUCCAUAUUUUUCAUUACAAUGGUAUGACAUAUGAUACAACAACAGAAAUAAACAAAAAGCUAGAAAUAAUUUUAUAUUUGUUUACACUAAUCUCAUAAUAAUAAGAAUUAAAUUAAAGUUGCCUGUAUUUAAGAUGUUAUUAAUUUUUCACUAUAGAUAUGCUUCUAUGCUACAUGUGUUAUUUCUAUGCACAUGUUUAAAAUAACUACUGAUGUUUUUUUCAAUAUAGUUUCUUUCAA